ACUGAUUCCUUUCUGUUUCUCUGACAUUAGGCAUGGACAACCCACCGUCCCCUCCACCGAGGAAAAGACCUUGAUAUCACUGGCUGCUCUGCUUUUGAAUUCAGCCUGAUUGGGCCACAAAAGGUCCUCGGACUUCAUGCCAAACAGCACCAGAGACGAAUAAACCAACACCAAGUUGCUGAAGGCUUCACUGGAAAAUCUGCCAUGACAAACACAAGCAGAAGCAGUGAUGGAGUCCUGCAGAGCGCCCUCUCCUGCUGCUUGAGGAGGAAGUGAGUUUGGUCGGGUGCCAGGCAGCUGAAGUCCCCCCACACCGGGAAGUUGAGCCCCAGCUCUCU